rnacentral:rRNA from 1 species
UACGAAGGGGGCUAGCGUUGUUCGGAAUCACUGGGCGUAAAGCGCACGUAGGCGGACCAUUAAGUCAGGGGUGAAAGCCUGGAGCUCAACUCCAGAACUGCCUUUGAUACUGAUGGUCUCGAGUAUGGAAGAGGUUGGUGGAACUGCGAGUGUAGAGGUGAAAUUCGUAGAUAUUCGCAAGAACACCAGUGGCGAAGGCGGCCAACUGGUCCAUUACUGACGCUGAGGUGCGAAAGCGUGGGGAGCAAACAGG